CCUACGGGUGGCAGCAGUGGGGGAUAUUGCACAAUGGGGGGAACCCUGAUGCAGCGACGCCGCGUGGGUGAAGAAGCGCCUCGGCGCGUAAAGCCCUGUCAGCAGGGAAGAAAAUGACGGUACCUGAAUAAUAAGCCCCGGCUAACUCCGUGCCAGCAGCCGCGGUAAUACGUAGGGGGCGAGCGUUAUCCGGAUUUACUGGGUGUAAAGGGAGCGUAGACGGCGGCGCAAGUCUGAAGUGAAAGCCCGUGGCUCAACCGCGGAACCGCUUUGGAAACUGGGAGGCUGGAGUGCUGGAGAGGUAAGCGGAAUUCCUGGUGUAGCGGUGAAAUGCGUAGAUAUAAGGAGGAACACCAGUGGCGAAGGCGGCUUACUGGACAGUGACUGACGUUGAGGCUCGAAAGCGUGGGGAGCGAACAGGAUUAGAUACCCGUGUAGUC
rnacentral:rRNA from 1 species